CCCUUAGAUGUUCUGGGCCGCACGCGCGCUACACUGUUCGACGCAGCGAGUCUUAACCUUGACCGAAAGGUUUGGGUAAUCUUCAGCAAAGUCGAACGUGAUGGGGAUCGAUCAUUGCAAUUAUUGAUCGUGAACGAGGAAUUCCUAGUAAGUGCAAGUCAUCAGCUUGCGCUGAUUACGUCCCUUCCCUUUGUACACACCGCCCGUCGCUACUACCGAUUGAAUGGUUUAGUGAGAUCUCUGGAUUGACGCUGGCUAGGGGGCGACCCUUGGCCAGGCUGUCGAGAAACUGCUCAAACUUGAUCAUUUAGAGGAAGUAAAAGUCGUAACA
rnacentral:rRNA from 1 species